rnacentral:rRNA from 1 species
GACGAACGCUGGCGGCGUGCUUAACACAUGCAAGUCGAACGGAAAGGCCCUGCUUUUGUGGGGUGCUCGAGUGGCGAACGGGUGAGUAACACGUGAGUAACCUGCCCUUGACUUUGGGAUAACUUCAGGAAACUGGGGCUAAUACCGGAUAGGAGCUCCUGCUGCAUGGUGGGGGUUGGAAAGUUUCGGCGGUUGGGGAUGGACUCGCGGCUUAUCAGCUUGUUGGUGGGGUAGUGGCUUACCAAGGCUUUGACGGGUAGCCGGCCUGAGAGGGUGACCGGCCACAUGGGGACUGAGAUACAGCCCAGACUCCUACGGGAGGCAGCAGUGGGGAAUAUUGCACAAUGGGCGGAAGCCUGAUGCAGCAACGCCGCGUGCGGGAUGACGGCCUUCGGGUUGUAAACCGCUUUCGCCUGUGACGAAGCGUGAGUGACGGUAAUGGGUAAAGAAGCACCGGCUAACUACGUG